CUCGAUGUACCAACUCAGCUAACCCUUGGAAGGAAAGCAUACGUUUCAUUGGUUCUGUGCAGUCGGCCACGUUGCCCACAGAAGACGCCAUCUGGAGCUUCUGGAGAGAAUACUGGCACCAAACUUUCAAACAAUAAGAACCUUCCCAUAAGUCCCUUGCCAGGCAAGAUUAAGGUAUAACAAUCCAAACAGAUUUUUGAAGUAGAUAACUGGUUGAAAGCACAGGAAAAGAGCUGGGUUGCUCUUUUUCAACAGUCACAUAAUGAGUAAUGUGGGAAUUGGUUUACAAAGUCUCUCUCCAUGAGGGGCUAAGGUUAAGAUUAGAACUUCUGAGGCCAGAAGAGCAAAAUAACUACAACAACACACAUAUUUUCAAGAGCCGCCCUUUGGAUGUGAGGGAUUGAUUUUUCCCACGAUUUUUUCAGCAGCCCACCUGGUGUCUUUAGUAAAUGACAUAAGAGAAUACAGUGUGGCCAAGAAGGCUUAGAUUUCCUUAGCCCCAAGUCAGAUAUUCUCAAGUGACUGUCCACUCAAAUUAAAAAGAGAGAUUUACAAGAGGAAACUGGA